rnacentral:rRNA from 1 species
AUUGAACGCUGGCGGCAUGCCUUACACAUGCAAGUCGAACGGCAGCGCGGGAGCAAUCCUGGCGGCGAGUGGCGAACGGGUGAGUAAUAUAUCGGAACGUGCCCAGUAGUGGGGGAUAGCCCGGCGAAAGCCGGAUUAAUACCGCAUGAGACCUAAGGGUGAAAGCGGGGGAUCGCAAGACCUCGCGCUAUUGGAGCGGCCGAUAUCAGAUUAGCUAGUUGGUGGGGUAAAGGCCUACCAAGGCAACGAUCUGUAGUUGGUCUGAGAGGACGACCAGCCACACUGGGACUGAGACACGGUCCAGACACCUACGGGUGGCAGCAGUCGAGAAUUUUUCACAAUGGGCGAAAGCCUGAUGGAGCGACGCCGCGUGGGGGAUGAAUGGCUUCGGCCCGUAAACCCCUGUCAUUCGGGAUCAAUGCUUAUUACUUAAUACAUAGUAAGUUGAUAGUACCGGAAGAGGAAGGGACGGCUAACUCUGUG